rnacentral:rRNA from 1 species
GGGUUGUGAGGUUAAGCGACUAAGCGUACACGGUGGAUGCCCUGGCAGUCAGAGGCGAUGAAGGACGUGCUAAUCUGCGAAAAGCGUCGGUAAGGUGAUAUGAACCGUUACAGCCGGCGAUGUCCGAAUGGGGAAACCCAGUGCAAUUCGUUGCACUAUCGUUAACUGAAUACAUAGGUUAACGAGGCGAACCGGGGGAACUGAAACAUCUAAGUACCCCGAGGAAAAGAAAUCAACCGAGAUUCCCCCAGUAGCGGCGAGCGAACGGGGAGCAGCCCAGAGUCUGAAUCAGCUUGUGUGUUAGUGGAACGGUCUGGAAAGUCCGACGGUACAGGGUGAUAGUCCCGUACACCAAAAUGCACAGGCUGUGAACUCGAAGAGUAGGGCGGGACACGUGGUAUCCUGUCUGAAUAUGGGGGGACCAUCCUCCAAGGCUAAAUACUCCUGACUGACCGAUAGUGAACCAGUACCGUGAGGGAAAGGCGAAAAGAACCCCGGCGAGGGGAGUGAAAAAGAACCUGAAACCGUGUACGUACAAGCAGUGGGAGCACCUUCGGGUGUGACUGCGUACCUUUUGUAUAAUGGGUCAGCGACUUAUAUUCUGUAGCAAGGUUAACCGUAUAGGGGAGCCGCAGGGAAACCGAGUCUUAACUGGGCGUUAAGUUGCAGGGUAUAGACCCGAAACCCGGUGAUCUAGCCAUGGGCAGGUUGAAGGUUGGGUAACACUAACUGGAGGACCGAACCGACUAAUGUUGAAAAAUUAGCGGAUGACUUGUGGCUGGGGGUGAAAGGCCAAUCAAACCGGGAGAUAGCUGGUUCUCCCCGAAAGCUAUUUAGGUAGCGCCUCGUGAAUUCAUCUUCGGGGGUAGAGCACUGUUUCGGCUAGGGGGUCAUCCCGACUUACCAACCCGAUGCAAACUACGAAUACCGAAGAAUGUUAUCACGGGAGACACACGGCGGGUGCUAACGUCCGUCGUGAAGAGGGAAACAACCCAGACCGCCAGCUAAGGUCCCAAAGUCAUGGUUAAGUGGGAAACGAUGUGGGAAGGCACAGACAGCCAGGAUGUUGGCUUAGAAGCAGCCAUCAUUUAAAGAAAGCGUAAUAGCUCACUGGUCGAGUCGGCCUGCGCGGAAGAUGUAACGGGGCUAAACCAUGCACCGAAGCUGCGGCAGCGACACUAUGUGUUGUUGGGUAGGGGAGCGUUCUGUAAGCCUGCGAAGGUGCUGUGAGGGUGCUGGAGGUAUCAGAAGUGCGAAUGCUGACAUAAGUAACGAUAAAGCGGGUGAAAAGCCCGCUCGCCGGAAGACCAAGGGUUCCUGUCCAACGUUAAUCGGGGCAGGGUGAGUCGACCCCUAAGGCGAGGCCGAAAGGCGUAGUCGAUGGGAAACAGGUUAAUAUUCCUGUACUUGGUGUUACUGCGAAGGGGGGACGGAGAAGGCUAUGUUAGCCGGGCGACGGUUGUCCCGGUUUAAGCAUGUAGGCUGGUUGUCCAGGCAAAUCCGGAUAAUCAAGGCUGAGGUGUGAUGACGAGGCACUACGGUGCUGAAGUAACAAAUGCCCUGCUUCCAGGAAAAGCCUCUAAGCAUCAGGUAACAUUAAAUCGUACCCCAAACCGACACAGGUGGUCAGGUAGAGAAUACCAAGGCGCUUGAGAGAACUCGGGUGAAGGAACUAGGCAAAAUGGUGCCGUAACUUCGGGAGAAGGCACGCUGGUGUGUAGGUGAAGUCCCUGCGGAUGGAGCUGAGACCAGUCGAAGAUACCAGCUGGCUGCAACUGUUUAUUAAAAACACAGCACUGUGCAAACACGAAAGUGGACGUAUACGGUGUGACGCCUGCCCGGUGCCGGAAGGUUAAUUGAUGGGGUUAUCCGUAAGGAGAAGCUCUUGAUCGAAGCCCCGGUAAACGGCGGCCGUAACUAUAACGGUCCUAAGGUAGCGAAAUUCCUUGUCGGGUAAGUUCCGACCUGCACGAAUGGCGUAAUGAUGGCCAGGCUGUCUCCACCCGAGACUCAGUGAAAUUGAACUCGCUGUGAAGAUGCAGUGUACCCGCGGCAAGACGGAAAGACCCCGUGAACCUUUACUAUAGCUUGACACUGAACAUUGAGCCUUGAUGUGUAGGAUAGGUGGGAGGCUUUGAAGCGUGGACGCCAGUCUGCGUGGAGCCAACCUUGAAAUACCACCCUUUAAUGUUUGAUGUUCUAACGUUGGCCCCUUACCGGGGUUGCGGACAGUGUCUGGUGGGUAGUUUGACUGGGGCGGUCUCCUCCCAAAGCGUAACGGAGGAGCACGAAGGUUAGCUAAUCCUGGUCGGACAUCAGGAGGUUAGUGCAAUGGCAUAAGCUAGCUUGACUGCGAGCGUGACGGCGCGAGCAGGUGCGAAAGCAGGUCAUAGUGAUCCGGUGGUUCUGAAUGGAAGGGCCAUCGCUCAACGGAUAAAAGGUACUCCGGGGAUAACAGGCUGAUACCGCCCAAGAGUUCAUAUCGACGGCGGUGUUUGGCACCUCGAUGUCGGCUCAUCACAUCCUGGGGCUGAAGUAGGUCCCAAGGGUAUGGCUGUUCGCCAUUUAAAGUGGUACGCGAGCUGGGUUUAGAACGUCGUGAGACAGUUCGGUCCCUAUCUGCCGUGGGCGCUGGAGAAUUGAGGGGGGCUGCUCCUAGUACGAGAGGACCGGAGUGGACGCAUCACUGGUGUUCGGGUUGUCAUGCCAAUGGCACUGCCCGGUAGCUAAAUGCGGAAGAGAUAAGUGCUGAAAGCAUCUAAGCACGAAACUUGCCCCGAGAUGAGUUCUCCCUGAGACUUUAAGUCUCCUGAAGGAACGUUGAAGACGACGACGUUGAUAGGCCGGGUGUGUAAGCGCAGCGAUGCGUUGAGCUAACCGGUACUAAUGAACCGUGAGGCUUAACCUUACAACGCCGAAG